AUUGAACGCUGGCGGCAGGCCUAACACAUGCAAGUCGAACGAGUGGCGGACGGGUGAGUAAUGUCUGGGAAACUGCCCGAUGGAGGGGGAUAACUACUGGAAACGGUAGCUAAUACCGCAUACCAUCGGAUGUGCCCAGAGGGGAUUAGCUAGUAGGUGGGGUAACGGCUCACCUAAGCGACGAUCCCUAUCUGGUCUGAGAGGAUUACCAGCCACCCUGGAACUGAGACACGUUCCAUACUCCUACGGGAGGCAGCAGUGGGGAAUAUUGCACAAUGGGCGCAAGCCUGAUGCAGCCAUGCCGCGUGUAUGAAGAAGGCCGUCGGGUUGUAAAGUACUUUCAGCGAGGAGGCGUUACUCGCAGAAGAAGCACCGGCUAACUCCGUGUCAGCAGCCGCGGUAAUUC
rnacentral:rRNA from 1 species